AGAGACAGCAGCCGCCACGGUAAUACGAAGGGUGCAAGCGUUAAUCGGAAUUACUGGGCGUAAAGCGCACGCAGGCGGUUUGUUAAGUCAGAUGUGAAAUCCCCGAGCUUAACUUGGGAACUGCAUUUGAAACUGGCAAGCUAGAGUCUUGUAGAGGGGGGUAGAAUUCCAGGUGUAGCGGUGAAAUGCGUAGAGAUCUGGAGGAAUACCGGUGGCGAAGGCGGCCCCCUGGACAAAGACUGACGCUCAUGUGCGAAAGCGUGGGGAGCAAACAGGAUUAGAUACCCGCGUAGUCCCUGUCUCUUAUAC
rnacentral:rRNA from 1 species